UACGUAGGUGGCAAGCGUUGUCCGGAUUUACUGGGUGUAAAGGGCGUGCAGCCGGAGAGACAAGUCAGAUGUGAAAUCCACGGGCUCAACCCGUGAACUGCAUUUGAAACUGUUUCCCUUGAGUGUCGGAGAGGUAAUCGGAAUUCCUUGUGUAGCGGUGAAAUGCGUAGAUAUAUGGAAGAACACCAGUGGCGAAGGCGGAUUACUGGACGAUAACUGACGGUGAGGCGCGAAAGCGUGGGGAGCAAACAGG
rnacentral:rRNA from 1 species